GAUGAACGCUGGCGGCGUGCUUAACACAUGCCAGUCGAACGAAGCACUUUAUUUGAUUUCCUUCGGGACUGAUUAUUUUGUGACUGAGUGGCGGACGGGUGAGUAACGCGUGGGUAACCUGCCUUGUACAGGGGGAUAACAGUUGGAAACGGCUGCUAAUACCGCAUAAGCGCACAGCAUCGCAUGAUGCAGUGUGAAAAACUCCGGUGGUAUAAGAUGGACCCGCGUUGGAUUAGCUAGUUGGUGAGGUAGCGGCCCACCAAGGCGACGAUCCAUAGCCGACCUGAGAGGGUGACCGGCCACAUUGGGACUGAGACACGGCCCAAACUCCUACGGGAGGCAGCAGUGGGGAAUAUUGCACAAUGGGCGAAAGCCUGAUGCAGCGACGCCGCGUGAGCGAAGAAGUAUUUCGGUAUGUAAAGCUCUAUCAGCAGGGAAGAUAAUGACGGUACCUGACUAAGAAGCACCGGCUAAAUACGUG
rnacentral:rRNA from 1 species